UNNCUUUGGUUGGUCGCCGGCUUCUUAGAGAGACUAUCAACUCAAGUUGAUGGAAGUUUGAGGCAAUAACAGGUCUGUGAUGCCCUUAGAUGUUCUGGGCCGCACGCGCGCUACACUGACAGAGCCAACGAGUUCUUCACCUUGUUCGAAAGAAUUGGGUAAUCUUGUUAAACUCUGUCGUGCUGGGGAUAAAGCAUUGCAAUUAUUGCUUUUCAACGAGGAAUGCCUAGUAAGCGCGUGUCAUCAGCAUGCGUUGAUUACGUCCCUGACCUUUGUACACACCGCCCGUCGCUACUACCGAUUGAAUGGCUC
rnacentral:rRNA from 1 species